UACGUAGGGUGCGAGCGUUGUCCGGAAUUAUUGGGCGUAAAGAGCUCGUAGGCGGUGUGUCACGUCGGCCGUGAAAACCUGCAGCUUAACUGUGGGCGUGCGGUCGAUACGGGCAUCACUGGAGUUCGGCAGGGGAGACUGGAAUUCCUGGUGUAGCGGUGAAAUGCGCAGAUAUCAGGAGGAACACCGGUGGCGAAGGCGGGUCUCUGGGCAUUAACUGACGCUGAGGAGCGAAAGCAUGGGGAGCGAACAGG
rnacentral:rRNA from 1 species